rnacentral:rRNA from 1 species
UACGGGGGGUCAAGCGUUGUUCGGAAUUACUGGGCGUAAAGGGCUCGUAGGCGGCCAACUAAGUCGGACGUGAAAUCCCCAGGCUCAACCUGGGAACUGCGUCCGAUACUGGAUGGCUUGAAUCCGGGAGAGGGAUGCAGAAUUCCAGGUGUAGCGGUGAAAUGCGUAGAUAUCUGGAGGAAUACCGGUGGCGAAGGCGGCAUCCUGGACCGGCAUUGACGCUGAGGAGCGAAAGCCAGGGGAGCAAACGGG